AAAAAAAGUGCGGCUGGCCUAACCGCAGUCCGAUGCUAAUGAGCAUCUAUGCUAGCGGCUAACCCGGCUAUAUAACAGGGACAGUGGAGUACACACGUACAGUGCUCAGGUUGGCCGUGUCGGGACGGGGGGCGGCAAGAUGGCGCCGUGAAAAGUCGUGGUCUUGUGAGCUGAGAAACAAUUCGGGGCCAUCGCGAUCUGGACGAACCACUCCACCACCUGUCUCUCUGGCAGAAGCUCGCCGUUCUGCUGCCUGAGUUGGCUGUAGAGGUCUCCUCCCUCACAGAAGCCCAUGACGAUGAAAAGUUGCCCAUUCCCUUUCCACGACUCCAGGUAGGUGACAAUGUUGGGAUGUCUCAGUUGGGACAGCAGCUAAGCUUCCUGU